GCGGCCGCUGGGUACCGGCGCGGGCGGCUCAGCACCUCAGACCUUGCUCUUCCAGUCGCCGAGGUGGCGGGCCGACCCCUGGGCGGCCAGUGCAGACGGCCGCCAUUCCCGUGUCGCUGCGACCGCGGGGGCCGCCCGAGCCGCCCACCAUGCCGCUGGGCCUGAAGCCCACCUGCAGCAUGUGCAAGACCACGUCGUCCUCCAUGUGGAAGAAGAGUCCACAGGGCGAGAUCCUCUGUCAUCACUGCACCGGCCGGGGCGGCGGGGGCGGCGGCGCGGGAGUGGCGGGCGGGACCGGGGGCGGAGGCGGCUUCGGCACUGCUACCUUCGCCACCACCUCGGCCGGUCCGUCGCAGAGCAACGGGGGCGGGGGCGGCAAGCAGAGUAAGCAAGAAAUUCACAGAAGGUCUGCUCGGCUCAGAAAUACCAAGUACAAAUCUGCUCCAGCUGCUGAAAAGAAAGUUUCCACUAAAGGAAAAGGGAGAAGACAUAUUUUUAAGUUAAAAAACGUAAGAUGAAUGUGGACCUUGUGUUUCUUGAUCAGAGACUGGGUAUGGUGGGAUUUGCCACUGCUUUCUCUAAUUCAUUAUUGAACUCAGUGUACCUCUUGGGAGCCCUUAUGCCUU
rnacentral:lncRNA from 1 species